CUUGCACAUGUCUGGGUGAAUGGUGAACUUCACCUUACUUUUAGGAGGUGUGUUGAGGAAAGGGCUAUAGCUAGGUGGAAUGAACUCAAUAAUCUAGUUAAGCAAGUGGCAUUAUAUGAUGCUCCAGAUCAACCUAUUUGGAUGCUGGAAUCUUCCAGCAAAUAUUCUUUCAAAUCCUUUUAUAAGAAAAUCAAGUUUUUUUUGAAGGGGGGGGGGUCUGCUGAGAUUAAAGAUGAUAUCUGGAAAAUCAAAGUCCCACCCAAUAUCCAUAUUUUUCUGUGGUUGAUUUACUAUAAUAAGAGCUUAACUAAAGAUAACCUUGCCAAGCGCAGGCAUGUAGAUGACAUGUCCUGUGUCUUUUGUAAUGAGCCUGAAACUAUCCAACAUCUUUUCUUUGAUUGCAUUGUUACUAGGCAGGUGUGGGUUUUGGUGGCUGACAGUUUUAAUGUUAUCAGGCCUGGUUCUUUUGCUGUGCUUUCUUCCUUUUGGAAGAGGAGAAAACAUUUUGAAGCUUUGAACAUUGUUACUGCUACUGUCUUGUGGAGCUUAUGGCGUUUGCGAAAUGAUUUUGUUUUCCAGGGGUGA
rnacentral:rRNA from 1 species